rnacentral:rRNA from 1 species
GAUGAACGCUGGCGGCGUGCCUAAUACAUGCAAGUCGAGCGAACGGACGAGAAGCUUGCUUCUCUGAUGUUAGCGGCGGACGGGUGAGUAACACGUGGAUAACCUACCUAUAAGACUGGGAUAACUUCGGGAAACCGGAGCUAGUACCGGAUAAUAUUUUGAACCGCAUGGUUCAAAAGUGAAAGACGGUCUUGCUGUCACUUAUAGAUGGAUCCGCGCUGCAUUAGCUAGUUGGUAAGGUAACGGCUUACCAAGGCAACGAUGCAUAGCCGACCUGAGAGGGUGAUCGGCCACACUGGAACUGAGACACGGUCCAGACUCCUACGGGAGGCAGCAGUAGGGAAUCUUCCGCAAUGGGCGAAAGCCUGACGGAGCAACGCCGCGUGAGUGAUGAAGGUCUUCGGAUCGUAAAACUCUGUUAUUAGGGAAGAACGUAUGUGUAAGUAACUGUGCACAUCUUGACGGUACCUAAUCAGAAAGCCACGGCUAACUACGUG